rnacentral:tRNA from 5 species
GGGCUUGUAGCUCAGCCGGUUAGAGCGCACGCCUGAUAAGCGUGAGGUCGGUGGUUCGAGUCCACCCAGGCCCACCA